rnacentral:rRNA from 1 species
AAUAGAUACCCGGGUAGUCCACGCCGUAAACGAUGAGUGCUAAGUGUCGGGGGUGACCAACCCUCGGUGCUGUCGUUAACACAAUAAGCACUCCGCCUGGGGAGUACGGCCGCAAGGCUGAAACUCAAAGGAAUUGACGGGGGACCCGCACAAGCGGUGGAGCAUGUGGUUUAAUUCGAAGCAACGCGAAGAACCUUACCAAGGCUUGACAUCCCCCUGACCGGUCUAGAGAUAGGCCUUUCCCUUCGGGGACAGGGGUGACAGGUGGUGCAUGGUUGUCGUCAGCUCGUGUCGUGAGAUGUUGGGUUAAGUCCCGCAACGAGCGCAACCCUUAUCUUUAGUUGCCAGCAUUCAGUUGGGCACUCUAGAGAGACUGCCGGUGACAAACCGGAGGAAGGUGGGGAUGACGUCAAAUCAUCAUGCCCCUUAUGUCUUGGGCUACACACGUGCUACAAUGGUUGGUACAAAGGGCUGCAAGCCAGCGAUGGUAAGCCAAUCCCAUAAAGCCAAUCUCAGUUCGGAUUGCAGGCUGC